GGGCGGCUGGCGCAGCGGUAGCGCGCUUCCCUGACACGGAAGAGGUCACUGGUUCGAUCCCAGUGUCGCCCACGA
rnacentral:tRNA from 2 species